AUUGUAGUUCUCCAUUCUCCAAGGAAAGCUGAGAGUCCACGGUGUGAUAGAAGCAGCCUCUCCUGCAG
rnacentral:lncRNA from 1 species